ACACUGUGAGUCACCUGCCCUGGACUCUGGGAUAACUUCGAGAAAUCGGAGCUAAUACCGGAUAGGACCUUGCACCGCAGGUGUGGGGUGGAAAGUUUUUCGGUUUGGGAUGGACUCGCGGCCUAUCAGCUUGUUGGUGAGGUAAUGGCUCACCAAGGCGUCGACGGGUAGCCGGCCUGAGAGGGUGACCGGCCACACUGGGACUGAGACACGGCCCAGACUCCUACGGGAGGCAGCAGUGGGGAAUAUUGCACAAUGGGCGCAAGCCUGAUGCAGCAACGCCGCGUGCGGGAUGACGGCCUUCGGGUUGUAAACCGCUUUUAGUAGGGAAGAAGCCUUCGGGUGACGGUACCUGCAGAAAAAGGACCGGCUAACUACGUGCCAGCAGCCGCGGUAAUACGUAGGGUCCGAGCGUUGUCCGGAAUUAUUGGGCGUAAAGAGCUCGUAGGCGGUUUGUCGCGUCUGCUGUGAAAACUAGAGGCUCAACCUCUAGCCUGCAGUGGGUACGGGCAAACUUGAGUGGUGUAG
rnacentral:rRNA from 1 species